AGAGAGAGGGAGAGAGAGAGAGAGAGAGGGGACUUGUCGAGUCCUUAUCUUCCAUAUCAGCUGACUCCAUAUCUUUAAGCAUCAAUAAGCACAUGAUUACUUUAUUGUGAAGCACUAGUGAUAUAGAAGAAAAGUGAACGGAGACAUGCAGUUUAUUGCUACCCGAACGUUGCAUAAACAGAAUACGUAAAGAAAAGAAAACAAAACAACAAACAGUAGAAACGAAAGCGAAUGAAAAAUUAAGAGAAAAAGAGAAAGAUAAACACGCCCAGAGGAAAUUCACCACAGUUUUUGAGACCAGCGAGAGAGGGAGAGGGAGAGGAGAGGAGGGAAAGGAAGAUUUCCACAUCGACGUGAGGCUCCCCGAGAAACUACCCUUUAAUAUAUAAAAUAAAAUGUCAAGAAUAAGGAUUAAAACCCAACCCUGCUGAAGUUAAGAGGCCGUCGAGCAAGGAACUAUAACGAGGAAUCAAGAGUUAGACAUUUCUACGUCAGGAUCUGCUGGUUUGGAGGAUGGUCGGGUAAACAAAGAUCGCUGUUUGUCUUCCCUGUCAUCACUGCAACACCUCGAUAUGAUUCGCACAAGGAACUUCCUUCUCCUUGCAUUCUCCCUGCUAUCCAUGCUCAUAUACCUUAUGUACAUGGACCUGCUGCCUGGUAGUCUGCGCCAAAACGGAAACGAGGAAUCCUCCGCAGCCUCGGUUAAAUCUCGUAUUUAUGGCAGAGAAGAAGCAGAAUAACUUCAUUUUCCCGACAUAAGAUGCAGACGACCCGAAGUUUAAAGUCUCCCCUGAAGAUUUCUUCAUAGAAAACGGAGACGCUGAUCUCCGGCAUCAAAAUUAUUUUUCCUUGAAUUUUUAUUUUAUUUUGGUCGCCGCACACCCGCUACGUCUUCUGGGUGUUGGAGUCUGCGUCUCAUCUCUACGGCGACAUCUCCCUGUUCGAGAGCAUCUUCAACUGGACCAUGGCGGACGGACUCGAUUCGGACUUCCCGAGACCACUACUUUGUCGCCGACGAAUGGAUACAGAAAGCCCAAGCCUACUGUGGGCUGUGCGAGAGACUCCACAUCGACAACAGUACCAAAGUAUACGACCUGAGCAAGUGGUAUGUGCAAGAGUCGCACUGUGUGGGGAAGACGACCCUGGAAAUUCGGGAAUUCAUUGGCGGGUUCAAAUACCACUCAGCCGUACCCUUUUCUCGCGAGCUUGGUGGUAGUGGCUGGUGUUGUCAGUUACUGUUAUUCUUACAUGUAAGCCAAAUAGAAUAGAACACAGGCUUUGUAAGUUGAUAAGAAAGAGAAAGUGAAUGUUAUGAAAUGACUAAGUAACUUUAAUAAUUUGUGAGGUCUAAAGGUAGAAAAUCUUCCUAUGAUAAAUUGGAGAGAAUUGGUCUUUUGUAUGGAAAGUGUCCCUCACCUGUUACACUGUCAGGUGCGUAUGAGGAAGAACACGUUCAUAAAAAAAUUAAAAAUAAUAAAAAUAGAAAUUAAAAUAAAACAUGGACCUUAUUUCUCUUCUAUAAAAAAUAACUAUUUCUUGAUAAAGAGGUGUAAUUUUCAGGCUUAAAUUCGAACCAUACAAAGGCCCUCGGCAUGUGACUCAACAGUGAGUGAGUCUGUCGUGGUGGGCAGGCGAUCAGGGUGCCAGUCUCGCAUAACAGUUCUAAGACACUUUCUGGUACAGAAAGAAGCUCUUGAAAGAUUUUUAAAUUUUGUGUUACUAUUUUGUCACAACAGUGAAGAUUUAUCCUUCUUCCAAGUAUAAAUAAUAGAAAUAUGGUUUAAUGUUUGAAUAAAACUACUGAAUUAGCA